rnacentral:rRNA from 1 species
GACGUUAGCUGCAGAAGAAGCACCGGCUAACUCCGUGCCAGCAGCCGCGGUAAUACGGAGGGUGCGAGCGUUAAUCGGGAAUUACUGGGCGUAAAGCGCAUGCAGGUGGUUUGUUAAGUCAGAUGUGAAAGCCCGGGGCUCAACCUCGGAAUUGUCAUUUGAAACUGGCAAACUAGAGUACUGUAGAGGGGGUAGGAAUUUCAGGUGUAGCGGUGAAAUGCGUAGAGAUCUGAAGGAAUACCGGUGGCGAAGGCGGCCCCCUGGACAGAUACUGACACUCAGAUGCGAAAGCGUGGGGAGCAAACAGGAUUACAUACCCUGGUAG